GAAACAGAUGCUAAUACCGCAUAACARCGUUGUUCGCAUGAACAACGCUUAAAAGAUGGCUUCUCGCUAUCACUUCUGGAUGGACCUGCGGUGCAUUAGCUUGUUGGUGGGGUAAYGGCCUACCAAGGCGAUGAUGCAUAGCCGAGUUGAGAGACUGAUCGGCCACAAUGGGACUGAGACACGGCCCAUACUCCUACGGGAGGCAGCAGUAGGGAAUCUUCCACAAUGGGCGCAAGCCUGAUGGAGCAACACCGCGUGAGUGAAGAAGGGUUUCGGCUCGUAAAGCUCUGUUGUUAAAGAAGAACACGUAUGAGAGUAACUGUUCAUACGUUGACGGUAUUUAACCAGAAAGUCACGGCUAACUACGUGCCAGCAGCCGCGGUAAUACGUAGGUGGCAAGCGUUAUCCGGAUUUAUUGGGCGUAAAGAGAGUGCAGGCGGUUUUCUAAGUCUGAUGUGAAAGCCUUCGGCUUAACCGGAGAAGUGCAUCGGAAACUGGAUAACUUGAGUGCAGAAGAGGGUAGUGGAACUCCAUGUGUAGCGGUGGAAUGCGUAGAUAUAUGGAAGAACACCAGUGGCGAAGGCGGCUACCUGGUCUGCAACUGACGCUGAGACUCGAAAGCAUGGGUAGCGAACAGGAUUAGAUACCCUGGUAGUCCAUGCCGUAAACGAUGAGUGCUAGGUGUUGGAGGGUUUCCGCCCUUCAGUGCCGGAGCUAACGCAUUAAGCACUCCGCCUGGGGAGUACGACCGCAAGGUUGAAACUCAAAGGAAUUGACGGGGGCCCGCACAAGCGGUGGAGCAUGUGGUUUAAUUCGAAGCUACGCGAAGAACCUUACCAGGUCUUGACAUCUUGCGCCAACCCUAGAGAUAGGGCGUUUCCUUCGGGAACGCAAUGACAGGUGGUGCAUGGUCGUCGUCAGCUCGUGUCGUGAGAU
rnacentral:rRNA from 1 species